ensembl:lncRNA
CUUACCACCUCCCAGCUGUGUCAGACUAGGUAGGGCUUGUGUGAUCAUUUGGAUCAGGAGUUGAUCUGGCUAAAACCUAAUUCUGCAAAUGAGUAAGUGAGAAAGAUUUAUAUUUAACUCAGUUCACUUAUCUAAUCAAGUUCUCUGCAAAGCCCUACAAACUGUUGUACUGGCAAAAUGAGGGAAUGAUGGAGGAAUGGAAAUGAGUAACCUGAGAAGGGCAGAUAAGAUGACCUAGGGAACUAGCGACCUGUCAGCCUCAUCUCUGUGCCGGACAAGAUCAUGGAAAAGAUCUCCCCAGGAGCUAGGCUAAGGCACAUGGAAGAGAGAGAGGUGAUGCAAGACAACCAGCAUGGUUUCACCAUGAACAACCUAGUGGCCUUCUAUGAUGAUGUAAAUGCAUCAGUGGACAAGGGAAAAUAACUUGAUGUCAUCUAUCCAGAAUUCAAUCAAGUGAACUUGGCAGCAGCAAUGUCAUUGAUGCUAACUGUGUGUGACAGGAAACAAAGCCAUGUGACUGCUGUGUUUUAUGAGGGCAAGGACUACAUUGGGAGUGAAAUUCUGCUACAGAAAUGGGUAAUGUAAAGGUUUUUCAGUGCUGGAGUGAGAAUGAGUAGAAAGGAACAGAGUGCGAAGAGAAGAAUAAGAUAAAAAUGGAAAGCAGAAAUCCUGAGCUGGCCCCACUGAACAACGUGUUCAAACAGCUCUCACACCAACCUCAACUGAGAGAGUGGAUUUUAAAUAAAUAAAUAAAUAAAUAAAACAUUCUUUUUUAUGCUUUACUAUUUGCCACACUUGAGCGCACCUCUAAAAAAAGAUAAGUAAAAUAUUAAAAAGAUGUUUUAAAAGAAUAUAUAAAACCAGUGGAAGAAAGACAGGUAACCUUUGAUAAAAGGAACUUGUGAGAAGACACAUGGGAAUGUAAGAAAAAGUUGAACACAGAUGCUACAGUGGUAAAAAGAUGGAGUAGGAAGCUCAGUAAGCAACUGGGAGAGAACAGAGCCACAAAAUACACCAGCAAGAAUUAGCUUACUGGUUCUGAUGCCAAGGUGAAGAGGACAAAACCAAAAGAAAGACGUCUAAACAAUGUAAGAAGACAGUUUUUAUGUAAUAGAUAUUUGGCUGUAUAUUCUUCGAUCAAACAUGUUUGAUUAAAGUUAAUUUUACUAGAGGCUACCUGUUUUGAAUUCUGUUUUCCACAGAAGGUAUUUUUUCUCAGAAAAUGACCUAUUUUGGAAACCAACCCUCAGAACACAGGAGUCUGCCUUUGUGGAAGUGUUCGUUGUCUUGUGGAGAAGAGGGAAAGUUGAGUGAGAAGCAACACACCUCUGUCUCCCCAGGCUAUUCUUGGCUCAUUCACUUCCCUGAGCAUUAAAUUCAUUCACAAAUUGGGAACUUAUCCCGCUGUUACUUUCUAGCACAUUUGAUAAAGUGAUGAAUCCUGAAUUAGUAUUGCAGUGUUGCUAAGUUUUGAUAAAUGUGCUUAUAAAUUCAUUGCUGCAGAAGAAAAGUCUCUUCUUUAAUCAGAAAUCCUGCUGCUGUCAAUGACAGAAAUAUAGCUUGAAACGAAACAUUCUGAAGAAAGCACCUUGUUAAGAUGUAAUUUUCUUCGUACAUGGCUUUAACAACAACCCAGCCCUAUUUGCAGAGCUAUGGCAUUAGGCUUUACACACCAAAAAUGCUUAGGCUUUUAGUAAACCUAGCAAAUAUUUUGCGGUGCGGCUGACACAUUAACAUGUGUAUUAGUGAGCAGUUGUCCAUAAGGAAUUUGUCAGACUGUCAACAAAGACUAAGACAGCCAGUCCAGUCCCUGCUAAGUGUAAAAACACCUGGAGAUCACAGCAAUCACUCAGAAGGGAAUUAAAGUAAUAGAUUAAUUGACCGUAAGAAUCAUUUUCCUUGUUCAUGAAUCUGGAUUUCCCUUGGCUGCCAGAAUUGUAGAUGAAAGAGAAAAACAUCCUUGACCUUUUCCGUCAAAGAAAAUGCUUCUCUCUUUGUCUAACACACAAAAAUGUGGACUAUUUGAGUGAUUUAAAAGGUCUGAGAAUUGCAAACAAACAAACAAAAAAAAAAGAGUGUCAAUAAAAUAGUAUUCAGCUUCUCAUUUAUUCUGCUGUGUCUUGACCCAUUAAGAGGUGUUAGUGAACAUUUCAAAAGUUGUCAGCUUGUACCCUUCUAGUCUACCACACUUCCUG